rnacentral:lncRNA from 1 species
GGGCCACAGCCCCGCGAGCGUAGGUCGGGCGGGCGGCUCGGAGCUUUCCCGAGGAGAGCGGGCCGAAGAGGCAGCCUUCAGUAGAGUCUACAGGGCCCCAGCCUGGAACACCAGAGGAUCUGUGGAGAUAGAACUGAGCCUGA